UACGGAGGGUGCGAGCGUUGUCCGGAAUCACUGGGCGUAAAGGGCGCGUAGGCGGCCUGGUAAGUAGGGGGUGAAAUCCUGCGGCUUAACCGCAGGGCUGCCUUCUAAACUGUCAGGCUCGAGCACGGUAGAGGCAGAUGGAAUUCCCGGUGUAGCGGUGGAAUGCGUAGAGAUCGGGAAGAACAUCAGUGGCGAAGGCGGUCUGCUGGGCCGUUGCUGACGCUGAGGCGCGACAGCGUGGGGAGCAGACAGG
rnacentral:rRNA from 1 species